GCAGUCCAAAGGCCGCAUGGCUCGCUCCGCACAGGACAUCUCGUCUACUCUCGCGAGCGGGAAGGUCUGAGUAUUCAAGCCUCUUUAUAGGCCCUUGCUGGGUCUGGUCGCUACGACCAAUCGACGUACCAGAAACUCAUUUGCCCUGGUUCGGCCCAGAGACCUUCUCGGAAGUGAGGGAUAGCCAGGGUUGGAAUUUGGGACGCGUCUAGGGGUCGGGCGUUACGCUAUUCACUUCUCAAUGCCUUCCGAUGACCGCGAUUAGCUGCCACUCUGCAUCGUCAUGGACCGAUAUUUGGGCGAUACUCUGUUACCGUCACGCGACCCGCUGGCGCGCAGGUAUCCGCUAGGAGCCGUAGCACUGCAGGCAAGGUUCUCGGAAGUGGUGAGCCAGCUCCUUCCGUCUUGUUGUCUCACCCGAGAGAGUACUUCGCUUUGGGAAACCUUCAGGCAUGGCCAGGGACGACCGGAAUUUGACUUUGCGUCGUUUCGGUUUGGCGUGUCUCGCAACUGGGACAUCCCGUCAUUAGUAGUUUGACUUUGCGUCGCUGCGUUUGACUGGUGCCUGGGCUGUUGACCGUGGUUACACCGCGCUAGGCCUGCGGUUUCGACUGCGAAGCGUUUACCCGAAGCUGGCAUGUGAAAGUGAGGGGGAGGUGUCGAGAAGGGAAUCGUAACGUCCUUCAGUUCACUUUGUAAUACGCGUUCGCGUGUACCUCGAUUCAGACUAUUCUUGGCCUGU
rnacentral:RNase_P_RNA from 2 species